GGCCGUCCGCACGGAGCUCCCGUAGUAGGGCGGGACGUGGUUGCCCUGGCCGUCGAUGUUAAAAAUCACAACAGUAACGACGGUGAUGGUGACAACUGGUCUGAAACGAGAAUCCCCACGCAGUCUUUUCGGCUCUGGCGGGUCUGUUGCUCUACGGGUCACCUGUGAUGGAAAGAGGGGGGAGACGUGGGGAAUGCAUUCUUUCUGAAAGUAGCAGGACGGCGCCAGCCAGCUCAGUGCUCUCAGACAGCUGUGGCGCGACGCAACUUAAGGAGGAGCGCUGGACGGAAGCGGCGUGCCGAAGUGAAACAGAUUUCACUUGUCGGGAAGAAAGGAGAGAAAAGAGGGAAGGAGGGAGAGAGAGACGAUGUUGAGAAAAGAAAUAAAACCGAUCCGGGGGAGCGGAGGGGAAAAGAAGUUGGAACCGGAGAGGCGUGGUGUCUAACCCUUCCUAGACCCCUGCAUUUCUACUCGAGGUCCGGGAAGAGAGGAGGGUCGGACCCUGAU